AAGAAAGAAAGAAAGAAAGAAAGAAAGAAAGAAAGAAAGAAAGGAAGGAAGGAAGGAAGGAAGGAAGGAAGGAAGGAAGGACACGAUUCUAAAUGUUUGAUUUCAGAUACACUAUUAACACCUGCAGAGGGGGGAAGAAGAAAGAAAAAGAAAAGGGGGGCAGGCCAGCCGCCAUACCUCCCUGGAGUGCCCUUGGGGACUCCCAGGACUGAGCCAGCUAGACAACCACCUUCAGCCUCUUUUUUAAAACGCUUUUUUUUAAUUACUAGGGAAAAAAUAUACACAUAAGCAAAAAAAAAAAAAAAAAAAAAAAAUUCCUCCCGGCUGGCGCGAGCGGGGGCGGCGAGCAGGCCGGGCGAAGGCGGUAACGCCAGCCUAAUGCACAGAUAGCUGACAUCAACUUCCGUCAGGCGGCUCCGGGAGAUCGAACCUUUCGAUUGUAACUGGGACAAUUUGCAUAGUGAUUCCCUUUCAGAGCUUUCUCGGGCCCAUAACAAGCGCAGGCAGCUAUUCAAAUGCAAGUUGCGUCCCCAAAUGCGCGGCUGGCCUGAGCUAAAGGAGCGGCUCGUCACCGUGCGAGCCGAGACCAGCGUUGGGGUUCUGGGUCACCUCUUUUCUCCCGGCUUUUCCCUAGCUCUCCGGUUCCUGAAUUAGCUGUUUGUUUAUGGCUCCAGACGUGUGUGUGCCAGCGAGCCGAGGCAGCGCGCAAGGGAGGGAAUUGAUCUUUCCUCAGACUCAAAGCUGGAGCCGAAGAAGUGCGGGGUUUGGGGGGUUCUGAGUGGGACUCAGACCCUAGGUGCUGAGGGGAAGCCGGUGGGCUCUCUGGCCCGCUUCUCUAACCCCAGCGACCUUGCAGGAAUCCUCAGGCCUGAGAGCGCCCGGGCUCUGGGCUUUGCAGAAAGUGGCGGCGGCUGUGUCCCGGGUUUUAAAAUCAACGCAAAGAAAAGGAGGCAAAGCUGAAAGCUUGUCGCGUGUCAGAAGCAACCUGCCAUGAAAUCCGCUAAUGCGCCCCGACUCGCCCUUCGCGCAUGUAGCCACAGCAAAUUAUUGCUCAUUUGAUACUCAGAAUUCUAUUGACCAUGGCUUUCGUCGGAGAGAGAAUUCUAACUACUGCUGCUCUGGGCUCAGAGCUGAGGUUGGAAACAAGUAAAUCUAGCAAGAAUUGAUGGAGACAUGCUGGUGAUUGGAGCCACGUGGCCUUGCAUAGAAACCUGCUUUUUACUCUGCCUGCCUUGCUCCAAUUCAGGAAAAAGGUCGGCCCCUUUGGAACAGAUUUGCUUACUUGGAAGGUUGGAUAUUCAUUUGGCAAGUUCUUUCCAGCUCUAGCCAGGCUGGGGGAGAAAAGGAGACAAUGGAAGAUCGCUCCACAGGCUUUUGGUCAAAGCUAACCCAAGGCAGGAAUACUUGAAGAAAUAUUAACCCAGACCUUUGGAUUCUGCCACAUGAAGAUCAUGUCCUAAAUUUCAACCCCACCCCCACUCCUUCAAGACUCUAGGGCAUUACGGAGCUGCUAGAGCGGAGAUGGUACGCUGAGAUCUGAGUCUGGUUGGCAGUGGGCACCCAGCCUCCAUGACCGGAGCCACAGCCAUAGUGUCCAACUGUGUGAAGAAGGAGCCUAUGCCCAGAGAAUAUCUGAUCUUUGAUUCUGGAACUCACAGCUCCAGGUUGCUGGAGAGAGUUAGUCCCUAAAUGAGGCUGGAGAAGCGGGCAAUGAGAAAGACCAGGUGAGUCCCCCAGGAAGCCAGUCACGGAGUCCGCAUUCCUGUCACAAGAAGCUGAUGCUGGAGACCCAAAAACUUGACCUGCCAAAGGGUGCCUGCCCAUCUCCCUCCUGGCCUAGUAAGGGACCUCCACCUCACCUCCUCACUGCCUCCAUCUGGGAGAAAGUCACCUCGACUCAAAAGAAAGCAAGUCUUAAGUGAAUCAGACCUCAGAAUCUGUCAGAUUUCCAAGGAACAAGUCAACCCAUACCCUUCUCCUUCAGCCCUGACACCUGAGAGUCUGUGGAAGGGAUGGCUGGCGGGGCUUUCAUUUCAACAAGUACUGGGAGCUAAACCUUCUAGGCCGGUUUCCAGAGCAGCAACAAGAACAUAAAGGGAAGCAAUUAACGGUUUUCUAACUGAGUCCCAGCUUGUGCCGCCCGACUACAAACCUCAAGGUGCAUUUAAGGGCGCUAAGGGACCUGGAUAGGUAGUGGUUGUUUUUGUUUGUUUGUUUGUUUUCCUAAUGAUACUGUUAAAUGUGUGUGAAACCACAGCCAAGAAGCCACAUUGUUCCAGAACCAGGCAGUAAAAUUGUAGGAGUGAACACUGCAGACAGCAUGCCCAACAUGGAGUACGGGGAAACAUGGAGUAUGGGAGACAUGGAGAAACUGCGGUGAACUCUGACACUUACAUUGAACAUGUUGGGAGUUUGGAGGAAAAUACAUUGUGGGCUUUUUUGUGUUUUUUAUGUAGUUUUAAAAACAACAACCCCCCCAAAACCAGGCUGUUGAUGCAAUCAUAGCAUCUCAGAUGUAGCAUAUUUAUAUUUCCCCAAAUAUAUCCACAAGAUGUGUGUGUGUGGCCUAGGUUGGUGUGGAAAACAAACAAACAUUUUGCUGAUUCCAGCACAAACUCUGAAAACCAAAACAAACAAACAAACCACUAUGGGGGACAAGGGGAGGGUGACUUUAAGCAGUCCUUUCUAUAGGGGUGGCUGGCUGAGGUCUGGGACUGUGGAGUCCAGAAAAAAACUAAGUAGAUCAUCCUGAACUAAAAGUUACCUUGGGAAACAAGACUUGAGAUACCGGGUUGAGGUCAUGUGGGGGUCAUCCAGUAUUCCUUUGGAGCAUAGCAUAGCUGAGAACUUAGCAGAACUCAGUCACUUCAGACUGGAGAUUGGGAAAUUUCUUCCCCUGGCGUGCACAGCACCAAAUCUGAGUUAAGGUGUCCUUGCCUCUCCCUCCUCUCCCUCAGGAUGCUCCUGACAGAGGUACUGCACUUCCCAACUGCCUUAGGCCCCUCGGGGUGUUGCCAGGCAAAUGAAACAAAAAGAACUCAAUAGUAAAUUAUUUUGUUCAGCCUUCUGUCUUUUUAUGAAAAUAAAACCCAACACUUUGUCAUUUUUAAUCGCAUAAGCAGACAAUAAAUCUAAUUUUGAUAUUGAU
rnacentral:lncRNA from 1 species